GUGUCAGCCGCCGCGGUAAUACAGAGGGUGCAAGCGUUAAUCGGAGUUACUGGGCGUAAAGGGCGCGUAGGCGGUUAUAUGAGUGUGAUGUGAAAGCCCUGGGCUUAACCUAGGAAGUGCAUCGCAAACGAUAUAACUGGAGUAGAUGAGAGGGUGGCGGAAUUUCCGGUGUAGCGGUGAAAUGCGUAGAGAUCGGAAGGAACGUCAAUGGCGAAGGCAGCCACCUGGCAUCAUACUGACGCUGAGGCGCGAGAGCAUGGGGAUCGAACAGGAUUAGAAACCCCCGUAGUCC
rnacentral:rRNA from 1 species